GUGUAUUGCACCAGAAGCAGGUAGCCUGACCGCAAGGACGGCGGCCUACCACGGUGUGGUCCAUGACUGGGGUG
rnacentral:rRNA from 1 species